AUUGAACGCUGGCGGCAGGCUUAACACAUGCAAGUCGAGCGGAGCGAGGGUGCUUGCACCUUAGCUUAGCGGCGGACGGGUGAGUAAUGCUUAAGAAUCUGCCUAUUAGUGGGGGACAACAUUCCGAAAGGAAUGCUAAUACCGCAUACGCCCUACGGGGGAAAGCAGGGGAUCUUCGGACCUUGCGCUAAUAGAUGAGCCUAAGUCGGAUUAGCUAGUUGGUGGGGUAAAGGCCUACCAAGGCGACGAUCUGUAGCGGGUCUGAGAGGAUGAUCCGCCACACUGGGACUGAGACACGGCCCAGACUCCUACGGGAGGCAGCAGUGGGGAAUAUUGGACAAUGGGCGGAAGCCUGAUCCAGCCAUGCCGCGUGUGUGAAGAAGGCCUUUUGGUUGUAAAGCACUUUAAGCGAGGAGGAGGCUCUUAAGGUUAAUACCCUUGAUGAGUGGACGUUACUCGCAGAGUAAGCACCGGCUAACUCUGUGCCAGCCGCCGCGGUAAUAC
rnacentral:rRNA from 1 species